CCUACGGGUGGCUGCAGUGGGGGAUAUUGCACAAUGGGGGAAACCCUGAUGCAGCGACGCCGCGUGUAGGAAGACGGUCCUCUGGAUUGUAAACUACUGUCCCCAGGGACGAAGAUGACGGUACCUGGGGAGGAAGCUCCGGCUAACUACGUGCCAGCAGCCGCGGUAAUACGUAGGGAGCGAGCGUUGUCCGGAAUUACGGGGGGUAAAGGGAGCGUAGGCGGGGAUGCAAGUUGGGUGUUAAAUCUACCGGCUCAACUGGUAGUCGCACUCAGAACUGCAGCUCUUGAGUGAAGUAGAGGCAGGCGGAAUUUCUAGUGUAGCGGUGAAAUGCGUAGAUAUUAGGAAGAACACCGGAGGCGAAGGCGGUUUACUGGACUGCAACUGACACUGAGGCUCGAAAGCGUGGGGAGCAAACAGGAUUAGAUACCCUAGUAGUC
rnacentral:rRNA from 1 species